AUGACUUUAUUAUGACUACUGGGACAUUUGGGCACCAGGACACAAAGAUCCCACAAGCUCCAGGAGAGCAGAGUCGAUGGCACACGAGGUGCGGAGGGUGGUCACACGGGCUCCGGUCCAGACCAUCCGUCCUGGUUUUUCAAUUCUCCUGUGCAUCUCCCUGGCUUGGGCGGCUCCUUGUGACUGUGCCCGAGGCCUCUGUCACAGGCCUGCCAUCACCUGAGAUGGGACAGCCCCCCCUUGAGGAAAGCUGGGGUUAUAAGGAGGCUCGCUCCUGAUUAUUUUCACCUGGAUCAAGUGCCUAAAAUCAGGGGUUCAGGGACAGCGAGGAGCCUUCCGGGAGGCGUUUGCUGGUGGAGCAGGUCUCAAGGCGGUUCUGACGGCCCCGGGCCUGAGACCCUACCCCAGGGAACUGGACAGAGACAAGUCACCCGGCCAGGUUUCGGGGACGUCAGUGGCUCCACAGCCUGUUUGGGUGGAGGGCAGUCAGGUCGGGGCACCUGGAGGUGAAAUCCUCGCCUCUCUGUGUCUGUUUCCCAUGUACUAAGCCUGGAUUUCGGGAUGGACUGGCUGACUGCUUCUGCAGAGUGGCGGACAGGAGAGGGCGGCGACAGUCCUUAUCUAGCAGAACCGGCUGCCUUCUCUCGUCACAGCCCAUUGCCUCAGACCGGCUGCCUUCUCUCGUCACAGCCCAUUGCCUCAGACGAGAGUGCCACACCUCAAAGCACAGGGGCAGACACCCGGGUCCAGGGUGGGCUCUCGGGCCCGGAGGACUGCACCCCUUCGUGGAAAAUGGCAGUGAGGCCGUUCCACUGUUCUCCCCAGCCCAGGGGCAUCCGGACAUGAACUGGAUGUGUGUGGUUCCUUCCCUUCCUCCUAAAACGCAGUGAAACCUCGCAGACAGUGCCCGUCGUAACGGCCUUGUUCCACGGGGUGCUCACGUCAGUGAAUCCCCCCACACGGCCACUCACCCUCCUGUGGGCACACGCUGCGCUUGUGUGGGGCCCAAGGCCAGCGGGGGCAGCCCCAGCACGCUGGGCAGUGAACAGCAGUCCAGUAAGUGGGUCUCAGGGAGGAGGAAAGGAAUCUUUAAGCCCAGAAAGCCCAAAGAAGGUGAGGAGGAAGAAUUGGGGCAAA
rnacentral:lncRNA from 1 species